rnacentral:rRNA from 1 species
AACAAACGCUGGCGGCGUGCCUAAUACAUGCAAGUCGAACGGGGAAAGCUUUCGGGUGAGUACUAGUGGCGCACGGGUGAGUAACGCGUGGAUAAUCUGCCUUAGAGUGGGGGAUAACUAGUCGAAAGAUUAGCUAAUACCGCAUAAGACCACAGGAACCGAGGUUCUAGAGGUCAAAGGUUUUUCGCUCUAAGAUGAGUCCGCGAAAGAUUAGCUAGUCGGUGGGGUAACGGCUCACCAAGGCAACGAUCUGUAACUGGUCUGAGAGGAUGAUCAGUCACACUGGAACUGAGACACGGUCCAGACUCCUACGGGAGGCAGCAGUAGGAAAUAUUGCACAAUGGAGGAAACUCUGAUGCAGCGACGCCGCGUGAGUGAUGAAGGCCUUCGGGUCGUAAAGCUCUGUCGCAGGGGAAUAACACAAUGAAUGUACCCUGUAAGAAAGGAUCGGCUAACUUCGUGCCAGCCGCCGCCGUAAAAC